rnacentral:rRNA from 1 species
GACGAACGCUGGCGGCGUGCCUAAUACAUGCAAGUAGAACGCUGAAGAGAGGAGCUUGCUCUUCUUGGAUGAGUUGCGAACGGGUGAGUAACGCGUAGGUAACCUGCCUUGUAGCGGGGGAUAACUAUUGGAAACGAUAGCUAAUACCGCAUAACAAUGGAUGACACAUGUCAUUUAUUUGAAAGGGGCAAUUGCUCCACUACAAGAUGGACCUGCGUUGUAUUAGCUAGUAGGUGAGGUAACGGCUCACCUAGGCGACGAUACAUAGCCGACCUGAGAGGGUGAUCGGCCACACUGGGACUGAGACACGGCCCAGACUCCUACGGGAGGCAGCAGUAGGGAAUCUUCGGCAAUGGGGGCAACCCUGACCGAACAACGCCGCGUGAGUGAAGAAGGUUUUCGGAUCGUAAAGCUCUGUUGUAAGUCAAGAACGAGUGUGAGAGUGGAAAGUUCACACUGUGACGGUAGCUUACCAGAAAGGGACGGCUAACUACGUGCCAGCAGCCGCGGUAAUACGUAGGUCCCGAGCGUUGUCCGGAUUUAUUGGGCGUAAAGCGAGCGCAGGCGGUUUGAUAAGUCUGAAGUUAAAGGCUGUGGCUCAACCAUAGUUCGCUUUGGAAACUGUCAAACUUGAGUGCAGAAGGGGAGAGUGGAAUUCCAUGUGUAGCGGUGAAAUGCGUAGAUAUAUGGAGGAACACCGGUGGCGAAAGCGGCUCUCUGGUCUGUAACUGACGCUGAGGCUCGAAAGCGUGGGGAGCGAACAGGAUUAGAUACCCUGGUAGUCCACGCCGUAAACGAUGAGUGCUAGGUGUUGGAUCCUUUCCGGGAUUCAGUGCCGCAGCUAACGCAUUAAGCACUCCGCCUGGGGAGUACGACCGCAAGGUUGAAACUCAAAGGAAUUGACGGGGGCCCGCACAAGCGGUGGAGCAUGUGGUUUAAUUCGAAGCAACGCGAAGAACCUUACCAGGUCUUGACAUCCCGAUGCUAUUUCUAGAGAUAGAAAGUUACUUCGGUACAUCGGUGACAGGUGGUGCAUGGUUGUCGUCAGCUCGUGUCGUGAGAUGUUGGGUUAAGUCCCGUAACGAGCGCAACCCCUAUUGUUAGUUGCCAUCAUUCAGUUGGGCACUCCAGCGAGACUGCCGGUAAUAAACCGGAGGAAGGUGGGGAUGACGUCAAAUCAUCAUGCCCCUUAUGACCUGGGCUACACACGUGCUACAAUGGUUGGUACAACGAGUUGCGAGUCGGUGACGGCAAGCUAAUCUCUUAAAGCCAAUCUCAGUUCGGAUUGUAGGCUGCAACUCGCCUACAUGAAGUCGGAAUCGCUAGUAAUCGCGGAUCAGCACGCCGCGGUGAAUACGUUCCCGGGCCU